GAUGAACGCUGGCGGCGUGCCUAAUACAUGCAAGUCGAGCGAACAGACGAGGAGCUUGCUCCUCUGACGUUAGCGGCGGACGGGUGAGUAACACGUGGAUAACCUACCUAUAAGACUGGGAUAACUUCGGGAAACCGGAGCUAAUACCGGAUAAUAUAUCGAACCGCAUGGUUCAAUAGUGAAAGACGGUUUUGCUGUCAAUUAUAGAUGGAUCCGCGCCGCAUUAGCUAGUUGGUAAGGUAACGGCUUACCAAGGAAACGAUGCGCAGCCGACAUGAGAGGGUGAUCGGCCACCCUGGAACUUAGACACGGUCCAGACUCCUACGGGAGGCAGCAGUAGGGAAUCUUCCGCAAUGGUCGAAAGCCUUACGGAGCAACGCCGCGUGAGUGAUGAAGGUCUUCGGAUCGUAAAACUCUGUUAUUAGUGAAGAACAAAUGUGUAAGUAACUAUGCACGUCUUGACGGUACCUAAUCAGAAAGCCACGGCUAACUACGUG
rnacentral:rRNA from 1 species